GGCUGGGUCCAGCAAAUUUAGCAGAGGAGCAAGGUGCUUACACUGUUUGCUUGUGCCUUUUCUGCAGGGAGCCGGCUCUGUCUGGGUACGCAAAGCCAACCCCCGGCUGCAGCAGGGCAGCGGCACGCUUCCUUGCUUCCUCUGGUCCCCUUGCCUACAAGUGACUGAUGUCUCUGCUGGCUGCAGAGUGAGGGUUAAAUUAAGAUUAUGCCAUUGAUGGAAGAUAGAUGCCAUCUCUUAUCCUAAGAUCAUAUCACAGAAUAACUGGCAACUCUGAGCCCUCUGAUCUCGGAUGCUGUGGUGAGACUUGGAGAAGUAGAUGGCCCCAAACCCAAAUGAUUCAGCCAACAAAAUCUGCAGUACUCAGAGCCUCUUAGAACCUCACCUUCCUGCCUCUGAUGGAGAGGUCUAAUGGUCAUAGCUGGUAUUGCUGAAAGAGUAAGGGCCUAAUCUAGCUAGUACGAUAAAAACACAUAUAAUCGUCAAAUAUGAAUCUCUAACUUUCUGCUUUUCAAAGAAUAUGCUGCUUUGGGGCAUCUGUAACUGUGAUACUGAAGGGUGGUGGUUCUGGACCAUGUCAUUUACACUAAGCUGCAUUAGUUCCUUAGUUACAUGGUUAAAUAUUUUACUGGACUUUUAAGUGAUAUUUAUGGAUGUAAGCUGGUACAGCCAGACAACCCUGAGGUAAAUUAAAGGGAGAGUUAAGAAAUGUCAUGGGAAUAGCUAUGAGACACUCUUAUGGGCAGUGCUAACUGGCACUGUUCAUUACUUAUUUAUACCUUUUAUCCAAAGGAUGUAUAACCAUGUAAUGUAUUUAUAUGUAAAACGGACUAAUACACAUACAUGGGAAUGAAUGCACUGGGCAGUGAAAUGUGCAAUAUGGUAAUGUGAGCUGAAUGCUGCAUUGUUAUGUAGUAAUUCAUAGGAUGAAGAUCUCUAUGUUCAAUGAAAAUGAAAGAAGGCGUCUUGCACAUGAUGAAUGUCAAUUACACCAAAUAGAAACUAAUUUUUUUUAAUAUAUAUUUUUUUUAAAUGA